CUGACCAUACAUAUUUUUGAAAAUAUAAAUGAAAUAGACUUGCUCAUUUAAAAAAUAAAACUUAAAAAAUAUUGUUAUGAUUUCAUCAAGCUGCAGAAAAUUUCUCUGGCAAAAAGGCAUUAAAAGGUCUUUUUUGCAAGGAAAAUCUUCAAAAUUUGGUAUCUUGAACCAGGAAUUUGAUUGGAUUUGUGCAGUUUAAUUAGGAUUAAAACUAAACUUUAGAACACAAACCAACAUAUAGAAUUCCUACUUUUCAGCAGGAAGAAUUUUUUGUUCUGUAGUUGCUGAAGUACAGCUGAACAAUCAAUUUGAAGAAAAUGUUACCAUAAAUAGAUUUAUGACAAAGGCCGGUAUCCUAAAUCAGCACAGGAACCCAAAGAGUUCAACAAUCACCAUGGAUGACUUCUCAGAGUACCAUCUGCCCUUGUUCAAAGCAUCAGUAUACUCAUUAGUUAAGAAAAGGAAGCACAGGAAGACAUUUUAACAAACAAAAUUAAUUAUUUCAAAUAUAUCUAUUUGAGAAGCAGAGCCAGCUAUAGUCUGAAAUCCUAGCCCAGAUUAAACAAACAGGACAGUACUAGUGCUGCACUUCUGCUAUCAAUAGAGGAAAAAAAACCCACUUACUAUCCAGGGGGAAAUGUUCUUUAGCAGCUUAAUCUGGUUGGAUUGACAGAUCUAAGUAUGCAGGAGAACAAGGACAUCCCUUAAGCUCCUGAUUCCAUGUCUGCUAAUGAACACCUAUACCUUGGUUUCCAACUAGAAUAUUCUAACUCAGUAAGAUAGAUGCCCGUCAGAAGACACGUAUAUACUAUAAA